GCCUGGUUGUCUUGCAGCCAGUCAGACAAGGACCUGGACAGAGAGAGGGAGCAGGACUUGCUACACCCUCACUAUGCACUAUGCCCCCAAGUACCUGAACCUCAGCACUCUGUCACAUGAAGUCCAUCACACAUCAGUAAUGAAGAACCUUGUGCUGUGAACCUUGAUGAAAUAUCAGGUUCUUUUGAAGAGGAUGGAGUGGUGAUCUAUGAUGACACUCAGAUCAGUAAGCGUCCUCUGGAUGUGUAGUGCUUCUUUGAUAACACUACACUCAAAAAAAAAAACAAGACAAAAGGGAAACCACUGUGGCCAGGAGGACGCUGCCUCCUGCAUGAAUAUCUAUGGAAUGACUGCCUGGACUAGGAGGGCAUGGUUCCUUCUUUUUAACAAGGCCAGGCGUCCACUCUAAUUGCCCAGCAGGCCAAAUGUACUGUUGCAGUAACUGUGUGCACUUAGAAAAAGUAAGUAGCAUUAAAAUGGCAGCAUAAACUGGGCGUGCACAGUUUUGUUAAGCCCUUUAAAAGUUAUGUCACAGGAAACGAAUA